rnacentral:rRNA from 1 species
CGGAGGGACUAGCGUUGUUCGGAAUUACUGGGCGUAAAGCGCACGUAGGCGGAUUUGUAAGUCAGGGUGAAAGCCCGGGGCUCAACCCCGGAACUGCCUUUGAUACUGCAAAUCUCGAGUCCGGAAGAGGUGAGUGGAAUUCCUAGUGUAGAGGUGAAAUUCGUAGAUAUUAGGAAGAACACCAGUGGCGAAGGCGGCUCACUGGUCCGGUACUGACGCUGAGGUGCGAAAGCGUGGGGGAGCAAACAGGAUUAGAUACCCUGGUAGUCCACGCCGUAAACUAUGGGUGCUAGCCGUCGGGGAGCAUGCUCUUCGGUGGCGCAGCAAACGCAUUAAGCACCCCGCCUGGGGAGUACGGUCGCAAGAUUA